ensembl:lncRNA
CCCUCCUUCCUUAAAGGGCUAGGCUUCGCGACCGAGUCGGGAGAGUGAAGGUGAAGAUCGGAGCGCGUGGUUGCGUGGUGACGUUACGAAGCCGGGGCUUGAAGCGAGAGUCGGCCCCGCCCCCGCCCCCGCGCCGCGGUCUGUGCUGAGGGUAUUUGGAACCUCUCGACCUCUUUGCGGCGCGGGUUCCCACUGCGUCGUCUCAUCCCCCCCCCCCCCGCUCCAGCUGGACGGGAAGGGACGCCUUACGUCGUUUCCUGAACCCUGCCAUCCCAACGGAAACUGGUCGGCCCUAGGCCAGGCCGCGUCGCGCGCCGCCGGGCUGGGUGGGGUCCGCCCCCGCUCUAGGGGGGGCUAGCUUGGUUACCUCUCCCCGCCCAGCUUUUUUUCCCUGCCCCGCGCCUUGCGGGCCUGCUUUGGGCGCCGACGAUAUCCCGAGCUCUAGCUAGUAAUAGCGCACACCUUCCGGCCUCGGGACUGUUGUGGCCGAAGGUUCAAGGGACAGUCGCCCCCAAUCACGUUGAACUGUUUUUUUUUUUUUUUUAACGGUAAUAGCUAGUAUUUGUAAAGUGCUUCAAGGCCUUCUCAUUUGAUCCUCCUACGACGGGAAAUGCUAAUUUCCCCUUGAGGCGGGGGUUGGGGGUGUUGUCCCCGCUACGCUUCUGACGGCGGUGGGCGUUUUUGGAGCGGAGUCCUCCUGAGAGCCCCAGUACUGCCCUGACCUGCCAGGACCUUCGCUCGGUGGGACGGCCGCGUCCUAGAGUGAAAUCGGCCGUCCCCGGAGCGGGGAAGUGUGGGGCUUUAACGGCGCGGAAAAGGACCGCCAUGCAGUUUUGCCUUAUCUGAGAAGAGCGCUAAGUGUGGUUAAUGAGCGGCAGAUACUUGUUGCCAACUUGAAAAGUGAAAGAUAACGCCCUUAAAAAAAAAAAAAAAAAAAAAAAGGCGAGCACCUAUAUGUUUAUGAGGUACGAAGAAUUAGACACGGGCCUGCAAAGAGCGCUUUGCAAAUGGUGAAAUGCGAUUUCUGUGAAAUCCGUGGGCCAGGAGACCCUAAGUUCGGCCAGCCGUAGUCUGGCAUGAUAUGAGGGAGGUGCAAGGCCCCAGAUCAGAGAAGAUGGGAGCUGAUCUGAAGUGAAACGUUAGAAACUGAGGAGGAGGGGGGACGUUCCAGGUUAAGAAACCACAGAUGUUUUGCUUGGGGGAAUGAUUCAUGCCUUGAAGAAAUUAUUUCAACAGUUUCAAAGAGUAUGGAUUGGAGAAAGUUCAAACUUGAGGCCAGGAGACCAAUUCGGAAGCUGUGGCAAUAGGGGUCCAGAGGUCAGAGUCACUCCAAGGGUAGUGGCUGUGAAUAGAAAGAUGUGGAUGAAUACAAAAGACAGCAGAAUCAGCAAAACUUGGGCCUGGAUUGGAUGGAGAAGGGAGGAAGAAGUAAAAGGUUAAUGGAAAGAUGGCUAUCCCUCAGUGGACAUGGGUAGCAUGUUGAGUUUGGGACGCCUUUGAGACAUCAAAGUGCAGGUGUCCAGCAUGUUGUCUGAGAUUCAGUGAAGAUUGCAGAUCCAGAAAUCUUUCCAGCUUGGUAGAGCCUACCAGCACUUCUGUUGAACCUGUAUAGACACCUCACCACAGUGAGUUGAGCAUCUUCAUGGGCUAUUAGUGAAGACCAUUGAGGAUGUCAUUCAGAAAAUAGAUGAAUGGAAAAGGGAGGACAUCAUGGAUGUAAUUAAAGCAAGGGAUAAUAGAUAAAAAGUCAAAAUGCUUGAUGGGAUAUUAGAAGAUCUUAAGGAAAGCCACCAGCAUGUUGGGCAAACUCUCUAUGAAGGAGUUAUGGGAAUACUUUGACAAAAAUAGCAAAAGAAGUAAAGGCAUGUAGGAGUUGCAAAAUGCAUCUUUGGAAGGACCCACCACAUCAUUAAAAGAUGUGGAUCUCUUCAGGCAUUGAAAUAAAGUGGAAAACCCUUCUGACCAUUAGACCUAUCUAAAAAUGAAACAUACUGAAGAGCCUAGACUAAAUAAUUAUUACUAAGGAUCCUUCUAGCUGGUCCUGGAAAUUCUAUGAUUCUCUGCCUCCUGGGGGAAUGAAUGAGUUUGCCACCACGGAGUAAUCUGUCACAAUAAAUCAGAAUCUGGAUUGGGUGAAAAAUUUUAGAGAGGAUUCAUUUAUUAGGUGGGGAGUAGGGAGCAGAUGAGAGACACAUUUCUGAAAGUGACAAUUAAACACCUCAGACACUUAACACUGACUAGCUGUGUGACCCUGGGCAAGUCACUUAACACCAAGUGCCUUGUAAAAAAGGGUGAAAAAUUGUUUGGGGAACCAAAAGUUAAGUGACUUAGUGUGACCAGAGAGCCAGGAAGGGUUGGAAGCAAGAUUGAACCCAGGUGUUCAGUCUCCAAAUGACCACCUCUACUAGUUUUGUCUAAAUUCCAGCAUCAUACAACUAGUUAAUGACAGAGCUAAAAUUAGAAAAUAGAUCUCUAGUACCUUCUUAUUUUCAUUUAAAUACAUUUAGCAUAUAAUACAGAUGGUAUCUAUGGGCAGAAGGAGGCAGCCAGGUGGCAUAAUAGAGUGCUGGGCCUGGAGUCAAGAAGACCUGACCUCAGAUACUCCUGAGCUGUAUGAUUCUGGGCAAGUCACUUAACCCUGUUUGCCUCAGUUUUAUCAUAUGCAAAAUGAGCUGGAGAAGGAAAUGACAAACCACUCUUGUAUCUGUCAAAAAAAAACUCAAAUAGGGUCAUGAACAACAAAACAAUGAGCAGAAUGUGCUUGCCAGCCGUUCAGAUGUGCAUCCUCUUUCAAGGGGAAGCAGUUUAAUAUCACAAAGAGAGCUCUGGAAUUGCAAUCAGGUAGAUCUGGGUUUGAACAGCCAAGGACAUUUAACUGUUGGCCCCCGGGCAGGUGGCUUAAUCUCUUUUAGAUUGUUUCCUCCUCUGUAAAACAGGGAUAAUUAUAGGACCUACCUCCCAGGAUUAUUGUGAGGAUCAAAAUAAGCAAUAUAUAUAAAGCACUUUGUAGGCUUUAAAGUACUAUAUAAUUGUUAACUAUUUUGACAGGUGUGCUCCAAAAUUUUGUUCAUAAUUUACUAUAUAAGUCUUUUUUUUUUCCAAAAGAAAACUAUUCACUAAUUAACCUUAUUUACUAAUCUAGCUAUUCAUAUAUCAGAGUUUUUUAGUUUAUGAAACAAUCUGUAUAGAUGUCAAGAAAAAUUCCAUUAUGUAACUCAAUAGGAGUUUGUCUAAAAUUUCAUUAAGUUUCUUAAAAAGUCUAUAGCUUAUUCUUAAAAAGCUACAUUUAUUACACAAAUAUUUGUCAUUUUAAACUCAUUUAAAUGAAUUGAAAAGAUUUAAAAAUAACAUUAAUGUUGUUAAUUCACCUUGCUCAUAAACGACUCUGAAAAGAAGAAAAAAACCGUUAAAGAUAUUAAAUGAUAAUGUUCACUCAUGGGUUGCAGUGACCAAAAUAAAUUUAUCAUCACAGGCGUACCUCUUUGUAAUUAACUAGUUUAGUCUUCAUAAAACAGGCUUGCCUGUUUCCAGUUAAAAUCAUUCCAGCAUGAUUAAAUCUGCCAAGCAUUGUACUCCACUGGUAUAACCCUUCAGAACCCAAGGUUAUAUAAACUUGUCUGUAAAUUCUUAAGAAAAUUGAUGGAUGAUUAUGAGCCCAACUCUUUUAUAAUACAGAGAGAAGCGAUGGAAGGUAAAGUCAGGUUUUUAAAAACCAUGGCAAGAUAGCUUAUUGAGUAAAGUCAUAUAAGGACAUUCAGGGAUGAAAAUGGAAAAUAUUUUCAAAAACCUCUUUAUUAAAUUGUUUUCUCCAUUGAAGAUAGUGGAAUAUCACAAUGGAGAAAGAGAAGACAAAAAAUUUUAAAAACUUACUAUGUGCCUGACACUGUCCUAAAUACAUUACAAAAUAUUUCAUUUAAUCUUCAAAACUAUCCUAUAGAUGGGUUUAUUAAAUGACUUAUGCAGAGUCUCACAGCUAGUCAGUGUCUAAGACCAAACAAACUAACGCCUUCUUGACUCUAGGCCUAGAUCUCUAUCUUCUAUGACAGCAGAUAGUUCAAAUUCCCUGUAGGUGCUUAUAGAACAGCUAAAAGGCUACUUUAUUCUCUUAGAAUAAAGAAACCAGAUUAGAACAACAUCUAGAAAAGAUCCAUAGUGGAGGAGAGCCACUUCUGAAGGGAUAUAAUGAGGUUUCUGAAGAAGGGGAAGAUAUCAAAAGGCAUAGAAUAUUAAAAUCAAAUUUUUGCAGUCAUAGUAAACAAUGUGCUCCUGAAAAUGUUGUUAAUAAUUUACUACAUAAAUAUUGAGGUUUUUGCAAGAAAACUUCACUAAUUAACCUUAUUUAUUAAUUUGGAUAUACUGGUAAUGAUUAAAAGUUAUAAAGAAUGUGAGAUGCUACUGUGCUGUGUUGAUUAUGAAAAAAAUUGAUUGGGUAGAACAAAUCAUUCUUGCAUAUUGGCAAUUCAUAUAUUAAAAUACACAGAUUCCUUGAAAGAGAUAAUAGAAAUAACCCUAUUCAGGGACUCUGUGGUCAUAAACAUUAGGCAAAGCAUAAAACUGGGAGCUAUAAGUUCACCAAGUUAUCUACCAAAGCAAUAGAAGAGAUCCAACCCAGAUUCAGGUUAAAGAGGGAUUUCCUAUGGAUAGUAAGGUCCUCCAGGUCCUCUUGUUUGUGGAUGACAUUAUGCUGAUUGCAUCAGGCUCCAGGAUCUUGCAGAGCCUCCUGGAAGAAAAUUCCAAGAAGUUGGCUUAUCUACUCACCCAGGAAAUAUCAAAUGGAUGAAGAAUGUCUUUUGCCCAGACUUCAAUAUGCAUUUGGAUGGAUACCCUGUGGACCAUAUCCAACAAUAUAUUUAUCUGGGACAAAUGCUAGGGAUAGGGAGUAAGCUUAGUCAUAAGGUAAAAAGGGAGAAGAGUGAACUGGAUUGAGAAAUUGCAAGGCUAUUUUUCUGACCCCCAACUUUCCUUUGAACGCAAAGACCAAUCGUUUCAAUACUAACAUUUGGCCAGUGUUGUUGUAUAGUAGUGAUUCUUGGAACACUAUUAUCUCUACCAAGUGAAAAAUGAGCACCGUUUUUCCAAGGCUUUGGAGAGGCAGAUAGUGGGUGUGAGCAUACUAUCCAUUUAAUAAUAAGAAACUCCAUCCAAAGAGGAACAGAAAUAAAAUCAAGGAAUUGUCUGUCCAAAAGAGAUGGGUUAGUCAUGCAAAGAAGUGGACAACUAGAGGGUCACACUGGUACCAUCGUGAUUUUGAGAGAAAAUGAGGGAAGCCUCUGUAUAGCAAGUUUUUUGGAGAACAUUGGAUCUCAUCAAGAGACAUGGAUGGGGUGAAUUCUGUAUCAUCAAACUUCCAAAAUGAUGAGACCACAGAUACAUUUGAGUAAUAUUAAUUCAUUCAACAAGCAUUUAUUAAGUGUUCAGUUUAUGCCAGGCACUUCUUAUGCAACUUCUUGUGGAAAUUCACAUAUACAGUAGGGAGAAAUUACUUGUAGUUGGGAGGAUAAAGGAAAGUUUUCAUAGAUUCAUAGAAUUUCAGACCUGGAAAAAAAUUUCAAAUUCUUUUAAUUCAUAGGUGUCUUUUCAGAACUUCCAGUGCCUUUGUAUAUAAUAGGUGCUCAAUAUAUGUUUAUUGUUAAAUGGAUGGAGGUGUUGGUGUUUGACAAAAUCUUCUACAUUAAACCUGUCCUCAUUCUACCUUAGUUCUAGUUUUUUCUAUUGAUUAUUUCCAAUUUGUCAUAUAUAAAAAUACAUUUAUGAUAAAUUGGAAAAGAUCUAUGUAUGUAUAUGUCAUAUAUACAUAGACAGCAUAUUUUUACAUAGUUGUUUUCAUUUUGUCUCCCCAAUUAGACUCUGAGCUCUAUGAGAACAAGGUUUGUCUUUUGCUUUCUUUGCAAGCCUUGCACUUAGUUCAUUGCAUGAAACAUAGUAGGCGUUUAAUGCAUUUUUAUUGACUGACUGAUAUGGGCCUUGAAUUCAGUCCAGUUCAUUUAUUAAACAGGUACUAUAUGCCAGGGAAAAGACUAUCUACUUUCAGGGAAACAGAUGAUAGGAAAAAAUAAGUUUAAUAUGUUCUUGUAUGUGUAUAUAUAUUUAUAGAUAUCUGCUUAUGUACCUACAUAUAUGUAUUGUACAUGUAUGUUUAUAGAUAUCUGAUUAUGUGUAUAUGCGUAUGUAUACAUAUAAACAUACAUACAUGCUUAAUUAUAGCCGCCUUUUGGGUCAAUGAGAGAGGGAGGGGAAAAAGAAAAUGAAGCAAAAAGCGCAUAGCAGACCAAAAAAAAAAAAAUCCAACAAGAAAGAAAAGCAGGGCAGCUUUGAAAACAAUAUGUAUUAUAAUUUUUCUUGAAAUGGAAAUGUAUUGUUUUAUAUUGAAUCCUCUCUUAUGGUCUGCUACAUACAUGGCAACUUUUUUUCUUUUCUCAAUUUUGUAUUUAAGUGUAAAAUGUAAAAGUAACCCCCUCAAAAAAUGCUAGAUACUAUGGAUAGGUAAAAUUUCAAAAUGGCAGAAACAAAGUGAGGAAGAAGUUGGGGCUGGAAGAGUGAGAAAAGAACAUUCUAAGGCUAUGCAGAGGCAAUUGAAACUUGACAAUAAAGCCUGGUGUUAUAAAAGGGUGCAAUGUUUUCAGAAUCAGGUAUUCUCCAGGCUAGCUGGGGAGGAAGGCAUUUAACAAUGGAAGACUGGAAAGGGAAGAGAGUGGGGUUUCACAUGCUCCCAGGUCCUUGAACUUUUUUUUUUUUCUUUUUUUUAACAAAGGCUGUAUCUGUUUAAGUAGUUUAAAACAAGAAUGAUGAAAUUCUUAACUCAAUGGCACUAGAGAAAAUAAGAGAUGAGCUGUUUUUCCUCACGAAAUUUGUGGUCUUUGGUUUCUUAGCACAUGCCCAAGCAUGAGGUAACAAUAGUACCAAGAAUAAAAUUAAGCAUGUGCUAUCCUUAAUUUAUAUGUUCAUUCAUUCAUUCAGCAAACAUGUAUGAAGGCCUAAGGCCCAGCAAAACAUUAUAUCAUGGUUCUGUGUAUAUGUGUAUGGCCACUAUGUAAAAUAAAAAAUCUGUGUUCAUGUCCAUAGAAAAAGUCAUUUUAUCUAUAUAUGUGUGUGUGUUUAUAUGUGUGUGUGUGUGUACAUACAAUACAUCCACUCACAUACACUUUCUAAGACAGAGAGACAGAGUUGACACAUGCUUUUAGAAGAUCAAGGUUAGGAGUUUGAAUCUAGCAGCAUUGGAGCCUCCCACCUUAGGCUCCUGUCAAAACAGUCCAUGUGUUGGCAAAAAGUUGCCACCGUGCAUUCUAAAAAAGCUUUAGCAUGAAGAAGCUACGCCCAGUUUUUAGAAUGGUGCAGUGGAGAGAGUGGACUGGACUCUGAGGUCCUUAUCUGUCCCGUGCUUGGAAUUCUCCUCCUCUCUCCCUGGCUUCCUUCCAGUCCCAGCUAACAUCCCAUCUCUGUAAGAAGCCUUCUGGAUCCCCCCAUGCUAGACCUUCCCUCUGCAGAUUCUCUCCUGUUUGUGCUAUAUACAUCACUUCUGCACGUAAUACUUUACAUGUCGGCUCCUCCAUUCCCCGAAACCUCCUUCAGAGCAGUUUCCACAGUAUCUGGCAGACUGUAAGUGCUUAAUAAAUGCUGGGUUACUGACUGAAUGGCUAAUGCUUGCUGUUUCUGUAACUUCAAGCAAGCCUCAACUUCCCUGUGUUUUGAUUUCCUCAACCAUAAAAGGAGCAGUUUUAAUUUUUGUGGCUCCUAGAUCUAUGAUUCCUGUCAGUUCUUCAGCCCUAGCUUCAAUAGAAAGCAGCAUAAAUUUUGCUUAAUAGUAUACAUGUGGAAAAUAACAUGUAAUUUUUUUUUAAAAAGCUCAGGCUUUCAGUUCCCAUGUGUUCCUUUCUCACGAAAUUCCUACAUUUAAAAAAUUAUAUCUUCAAUAUACACAAAACAAGUUAUGAUUGAAGUGUGAAAUUUAUCUUGGAAGCUAUAUGCCAUUUGAUUUCCCAACAGAUGUAGAAGGUGUUCAUACAGGAAUUUGAAAAAACUUUUCCACCUAUAGCAGUAGAUUAAAUUUUAUACCUCAUCCCACGCCAUAAACUGAAUAGUCUCUUGAUACUGGAUAUAUUUUGUUGACUAAAAAAGAAAGUACACUUUUAUAACUAAGCCUAUACUCAGCCUCUAAGUAACAAGUUAUUUAAGAAUUGGUUUGUUUUUUUAAACAGGCAGGCAUGGAUGAGUUCCAGUCUGCAGUACUGGAGGAAAUGCAGACUACUGGAAUAUAUUUUUUAAGUCCACCUA